rnacentral:rRNA from 1 species
AGAGUUUGAUCCUGGCUCAGGACGAACGCUGGCGGCGUGCCUAACACAUGCAAGUCGAGCGAUCUUCUUCGGAAGAGAGCGGCGGACGGGUGAGUAACGCGUGGGUAACCUGCCUCAUACACAUGGAUAACAUACCGAAAGGUAUGCUAAUACAAGAUGAUAUAAGAGAUUCGCAUGAAUUUCUUAUCAAAGCUCCGGCGGUAUGAGAUGGACCCGCGUCUGAUUAGCUAGUUGGUAAGGUAACGGCUUACCAAGGCAACGAUCAGUAGCCGACCUGAGAGGGUGAUCGGCCACAUUGGAACUGAGACACGGUCCAAACUCCUACGGGAGGCAGCAGUGGGGAAUAUUGCACAAUGGGCGAAAGCCUGAUGCAGCAACGCCGCGUGAGCGAUGAAGGCCUUCGGGUCGUAAAGCUCUGUCCUCAAGGAAGAUAAUGACGGUACUUGAGGAGGAAGCCCCGGCUAACUACGUGCCAGCAGCCGCGGUAAUACGUAGGGGGCUAGCGUUAUCCGGAUUUACUGGGCGUAAAGGGUGCGUAGGUGGUUUCUUAAGUCAGGAGUGAAAGGCUACGGCUUAACCGUAGUAAGCUCUUGAAACUGGGAAACUUGAGUGCAGGAGAGGAAAGUGGAAUUCCUAGUGUAGCGGUGAAAUGCGUAGAUAUUAGGAGGAACACCAGUAGCGAAGGCGGCUUUCUGGACUGUAACUGACACUGAGGCACGAAAGCGUGGGGAGCAAACAGGAUUAGAUACCCUGGUAGUCCACGCCGUAAACGAUGAGUACUAGGUGUCGGGGGUUACCCCCCUCGGUGCCGCAGCUAACGCAUUAAGUACUCCGCCUGGGGAGUACGCUCGCAAGAGUGAAACUCAAAGGAAUUGACGG